rnacentral:rRNA from 1 species
UACGUAGGGGGCAAGCGUUAAUCGGAAUUACUGGGCGUAAAGGGCGCGUAGGCGGUGUGGCAAGUCAGGCGUGAAAUCCCCGGGCUCAACCUGGGAAUUGCAUUGGAGACUGCAAGGCUAGAAUCUGGCAGAGGGGGGUAGAAUUCCACGUGUAGCAGUGAAAUGCGUAGAGAUGUGGAGGAACACCGAUGGCGAAGGCAGCCCCCUGGGGCAAGAUUGACGCUCAUGCACGAAAGCGUGGGGAGCAAACAGG